GCAGUGGCGGCCUGCUAAUACAUGCAGUCGAGCGAGCUGAACAACAGAUUCACUUCGGUGAUGACGUUGGGAACGCGAGCGGCGGAUGGGUGAGUAACACGUGGGGAACCUGCCCCAUAGUCUGGGAUACCACUUGGAAACAGGUGCUAAUACCGGAUAAGAAAGCAGAUCGCAUGAUCAGCUUAUAAAAGGCGGCGUAAGCUGUCGCUAUGGGAUGGCCCCGCGGUGCAUUAGCUAGUUGGUAGGGUAACGGCCUACCAAGGCAAUGAUGCAUAGCCGAGUUGAGAGACUGAUCGGCCACAUUGGGACUGAGACACGGCCCAAACUCCUACGGGAGGCAGCAGUAGGGAAUCUUCCACAAUGGACGAAAGUCUGAUGGAGCAACGCCGCGUGAGUGAAGAAGGUUUUCGGAUCGUAAAGCUCUGUUGUUGGUGAAGAAGGAUAGAGGUAGUAACUGGCCUUUAUUUGACGGUAAUCAACCAGAAAGUCACGGCUAACUACGUGCCAGCAGCCGCGGUAAUACGUAGGUGGCAAGCGUUGUCCGGAUUUAUUGGGCGUAAAGCGAGCGCAGGCGGAAGAAUAAGUCUGAUGUGAAAGCCCUCGGCUUAACCGAGGAACUGCAUCGGAAACUGUUUUUCUUGAGUGCAGAAGAGGAGAGUGGAACUCCAUGUGUAGCGGUGGAAUGCGUAGAUAUAUGGAAGAACACCAGUGGCGAAGGCGGCUCUCUGGUCUGCAACUGACGCUGAGGCUCGAAAGCAUGGGUAGCGAACAGGAUUAGAUACCCUGGUAGUCCAUGCCGUAAACGAUGAGUGCUAAGUGUUGGGGAGGUUUCCGCCUCUCAGUGCUGCAGCUAACGCAUUAAGCACUCCGCCUGGGGAGUACGACCGCAAGGUUGAAACUCAAAGGAAUUGACGGGGGCCCGCACAAGCGGUGGAGCAUGUGGUUUAAUUCGAAGCAACGCGAAGAACCUUACCAGGUCUUGACAUCUAGUGCAAUCCGUAGAGAUACGGAGUUCCCUUCGGGGACACUAAGACAGGUGGUGCAUGGCUGUCGUCAGCUCGUGUCUUGAAAUGUUUGGGUUAAGUCCCCCAACCAAGCGCAACCCUUUGUCAUUAUUUGCCAGCAUUAAAUUUGGGCACCCUAAUGGAAACUGCCGGUGACAACCCGAAGAAAAGGUGGGGGAUUAACGUCAAAUUCUUCUUGCCCCCUUUUUGACCUGGGGUGUAAA
rnacentral:rRNA from 1 species